rnacentral:rRNA from 1 species
AAAAGCUGAGGAAAAGAAAAUAACUAUGAUUCCCUUAGUAACGGCGAGUGAACAGGGAAAAGCCCAAAUUUGUAAUCUGGCACUUUUUACAAGUGUCCGAGUUGUAAUUUGUAGAACUGUUAUCCGCGCUGGACCAUGUACAAGUCUGUUGAAAAGCAGCAUCAUUGAAGGUGAAAAUCCUGUAGAUGAUAUGGACUACCAGUGCAUUUGUGAUACGGUUUCUAAGAGUCGAGUUGUUUGGGAAUGCAGCUCAAAGUGGGUGGUAAAUUCCAUCUAAGGCUAAAUAUAAGUGAGAGACCGAUAGCAAACAAGUACCGUGAGGGAAAGAUGAAAAGAACUUUGAAAAUAGAGUUAACAGUACGUGAAAUUGCUGAAAGGGAAACGUUUGAAGUUAGUUUUGUAUUCGUUGGAUCAGCUUCGCAAGGAGUGUAUUCUGAUGAUAAGCAAGUCAACAUCAAUCUAUGAGUGUCGGAGAAGGGUUUUGAGAAUGUAGCAAUUUUUAUUAAUUGUGUUAUAGCUUGAGACUUGGAUACGAUGCUUUGGAUUGAGGAACGCGUAGUAAGCUUUGAGCGGAUUCGAAAGGAUCUCCUUACUAAUGGAUGUUG